AACACGUGAUCAAACAUGAAAUUUUAAAUAAUAUUUUCAUCGGUCGCAGAAUUUGCCUCACCCUUAUCUAUUAUUUGAUCUGUUUAUUUUCUGUUUAAUUUAAUUUGUGUACCCAACUCGCUAAGUAGACGAUUACCGCAGAUGUCGCAUUUAGAGAAAUGAGAAUAAAAACCGGAGCAGUCUUCGAUGAAAUUACUACUCUUCAUUCGGCUAUACAACUAAGCAUAACGACUCGUCUACAAAAAAUGUCAACGCUGUUUACCGUUCUUGGGGCCGCUGCAAUCUUCAUUUUGAUUCUGCGGACGAACGGCGCCACCGUUCAAAAGAAGGAUACAAUUUGUCAGCUCGACCAGUCGAUAGGAACAAUCGACGCGCUGGUCACUUCCGUAAGAAAAAAUGCUUUGAAUGUUUCGUCACGACAAGCGAGUGAAAAGAAUUUGGCAGUUGUUCAAGAGUUCCAAAAGAAUGCAACGGAAUUUUCUCGAGAGCUUCGUUCCGCUCUUGAAAAUGUUGCCAACGAAAAUCGUCUCGGAUUGAGUUUCAAUGAAACAACGUGCAGCCGCUACUUCAAUGAUUUUGAAAAAAGCAGCAAAGUGCUGAUGAAGGAGUUGGAUGACUCUGUCUCCGUGGGAUCGGCCGAGAUGGCCGCAUCGCUUAGAAAUAUGCUGGGACCCGUAGCAAACGAAACGAAAACAAAAAUAAUGAGUUUCAAGGAUAAAGCAGCUACGUGCAAGGGAUUUGCAUGCAAAGAUAUCAGUUUAGAGGUGAAUAAGGUCUUGAAUGCAUACGUGGUCGCACUCAUUCGUCUUAUUUACGAUAACGAUGCGGAGUUCAACAACGAAUCGGCUGACAAAAUAUACCAACGUAUUACUGCAACAGGAAACGAGGCUUUCAACCGAUCCCGUGACUGCCUAUCUUCGUUAUGAUUUCAACGAGUCCGAAUCCCUUCCCGCUACGGAGUUCGUGCAGCUGAUGUUUAUGCUAAUUUCCAAUCCAAGAAUCACUAUAAAAGCCGGAGUAGUCUACUAUCGAACCAUAUUCUUCAUUUGGCUACAAGAAAAGAGGUGUCGAGAGAAUGUCGAAGUUCACAAUCAUUCUAUGUGCCGUCGCUACCUUCAAUGUGGCAACCUCUGCCAGUGGAAAAAAACAGGAUGGACCGGCGGCUCUUUUUUUCGACCCGUUGCUCGAAAAAGUCGAAAGCCGCGCCUUAGUAGUAAAUAAAAUAGUUUACAAUUCGUCUCUGGUAUUAAGCAAAAUGGAUUUCCAAAUCGCUCAUGAGUUCUCAAAAAAUGCAUCGGAUACAUAUGAAAAGUUUAUUGAGUUACUUCCAAAAAUGAUGGCCGACGAACAAGCUCGUGGAGGCAAAUUCAAUGAAACACAGUGCACGAGCUACUUGACCGAUUUCAAAGAAACCCAAUCAAAAGUUUUGAAUGAUUUGGAUGAAGGCAUCUACGGCCCAUUGUUCGAAGUAAUGAACCCGGUGACGGAACUCCUGGGACCAAAAACGAGUGAAGUGAAAUCAGCCAUAUGGUCGCUCAAAGAAGAUGCAGAUAAAUUGAUGAGGAAGGCAAGAAACUUGGUUAAGAAUUACAUGACCGAGUCUCAAGAAGUUCUGGAUAACUUUUCGGCCACGAUCAACAACUCGACGAUUCGGGAAUUCGCUGAUAGAAAAUUGGAAAAUUUGAUUGACAAGGCGAAUGAGGCUUUUAAUGAAACACUCAAGUGCAUAAGCGUUUCUCGUUAAUACAAUACCGAAAAUUCGAAAGAGGACGGAGUGGACAUGUUUGAGAGCAUCGAUAGUUUAGUGGGUGUUACUGAGAAUUACAAUUGAGUUCUAAACGUUUUCGUGGCAAGGCGAUCCGAUGCCUCCGCUCUACUCCCACUUUUUCUCUACUUUUGUAAUCUAGGGAUAAAGUUUAGAAGAAGUGACGAUUCUGCGGAGUUGGAAAGACGAGAAAUGCGUGAGCCAAACUCCUCUUAUUGGGAAGGAAAAUCGAUAUCGAGCUCUACAGUGGUUCAUCACCUCACUACUUGCCUCUAAAAAAAUGUCAACAGAAAUGCUAAACCUUCGUAAAACAACGAGCUCCCAGCUCCUACGAUCUUUCUUUCUUUUGUUCUUUUUGGGGUUAUGGUUAUUUUGAAUAAAUAUACGAGAACAGUUUCAGUAUUCAAUAUUCAAAUCUUUAUUUGACACGUCCGAUCUCCAUCAGAGUCCACGCAAGAGAGAGUCAAACUCUAUGGAGGGGGGAAACGUUCCCACUCACAGACACAUAUACAUGGGAACAAAGGGAAAAACUGUAGCGGGCGCUUUCAAAUUCUAACAGUUCUCGCA